rnacentral:rRNA from 1 species
AGGGUUUGAUUCUGGCUCAGGACGAACGCUGGCGGUGCGCCUUAUGCAUGCAAGUCGAGCGAAGCUUUUUGGUAGUUUACUACUAGAAAUGACUGAGCGGCGAACGGGUGAGUAACGCGUGAGCAAUCUACCUUAGUUACUGGGAUAGCCCGAGGAAACUCGGAUUAAUACCAGAUAUUCUUAUUUUUUCACAUGAAGUUUUAAGGAAAGGUCAGCCGAACUAAGAUGAGCUCGCGUUCUAUCAGCUAGUUGGUGGGGUAAAAGCCUACCAAGGCUACGACGGAUAGCUGGUCUGAGAGGACGAUCAGCCACACUGGGACUGAGACACGGCCCAGACUCCUACGGGAGGCUGCAGCAGGGAAUAUUGUGCAAUGAGCGAAAGCUUGACACAGCGACACCGCGUGUGGGAUGACGGUUCUAGGAUUGUAAACCACUUUCAGGAGGGAAGAAAAUGACGGUACCUCCACAAGAAGACCCGGCCAACUAUGUGCCAGCCGCCGCGGUAAUAC